rnacentral:snRNA from 1 species
GUGCUCACUUCAGCAGCAUGUAUACUAAAAUUAGAACAAUACAGAGAUUAGCAUGGUCCCUGUGCAAGGCUGAUGUGCAAAUUCAUGAAGCAUUCCAUAUAAAA